CCCAGAAUGGGUUGGGAUGGAAGGGAACUUAAAGCUCACCCAGUUCCACCCCUGCCACGGGCAGGGGCACCUCUCACUGUCCCAGGGUGCUCCAAGCCCUGUCCAACCUGGCCUGGGACACUGCCAGGGGCAGCCCCAGCUGCUCUGGGAUACAGGCCCUGGUUGCCCAGAGAAGCUGUGGCUGCCCCUGGAUCCCUGGAAGUGCCCAUGGCCAGGCUGGAUCUAAAAAUACAGAGAAAAACCAAAAAAACAUAGAAGCACCAAGAAACAAGAAGGAAA